AAGAGAGAUAUUAUCCCCUCUGACUCCAACACGGAGAGACUCACUCAUUUCCCCCCAAACUCUCAACAGCUGAGUUCUACUAGACUGGACUCUCUCUCUCUCUCUUAUCCGGAUACCUUUAGUCUUCACAGAAAAUGGAGAUUUAUGUCAAGGAUAUGAAGAAACCAAGAUCAGUGUUCAGCAAUAUCAAGUUGUUUGUGCUGUGUCAUGGCCUGCUGCAGCUCACCCAGCUCCUGUACAGCUCCUACUUUAAGAGCACCAUCACCACCAUCGAGAGACGCUUCGGCCUCAGUAGCUUCUCAUCCGGCACCGUCUCCUCUCUGCACGAGGUGGGGAACACAGUCCUGAUAGUGUUUGUGAGUUACCUGGGCAGCAGGGUCCAUCGGCCUCGUCUCAUUGGACUGGGUGGCUUGCUGAUGUCCGUCAGCGCUCUGAUCCUGGCCCUACCUCAUUUCCUGUCCCAGCCCUAUGAGUUCGACUCUGUCAUACAUGAUCGCCAGGACCUGUGUUCCCUCCAGGGCACCUCCAACACCACAGAGGCCUGUGGGAAGACAGAGAUCAAGCGUAUAGCAGACACCAACAACUUGUGGAUGCUGAUGGCUAUAGCUCAGCUGCUGUUCGGGGUGGGGUCUGUUCCCAUACAACCCUUUGGUAUCUCGUAUGUGGAUGACUUCGCCGGACGAGGCAACUCCCCCCUCUACAUAGCCAUCCUGUUUGCUGUGUCUGUGUUUGGACCUGCCUUUGGCUUCCUGCUGGGCUCCGUCAUGCUGAGGAUCUAUGUGGACGUGGACAGAACCGGCUCAGUCACCAAUGCUGAGCUGGCCCCUACGGACCCUCGCUGGGUGGGUGCGUGGUGGAUGGGCCUCCUCAUCUCCUCUGCCAGCCUAGCCCUGACCUCCACCCCAUACUUCUUCUUUCCUCGCAGCAUGCCGCUGGAAGACGAUGUAAGUGGAACUGAAACUGACAUUCUGAACGAAAGCUCCGAAAAGCCUGAGAUCUCACUGCUUGAAUUCCUUAAGAUGUUCCCCAGGCUGUUUGUCCGUCUGCUCCUCAGUCCUCUGUUCCUGCUGUUGGUCCUGUCUCAGUGCUGUUUCUCUUCAGUCAUCGCUGGCCUCGCCACCUUCCUCAACAAGUUCCUGGAGAGACAGUACAGCACGACUGCCGCUUACAGCAGCCUCCUCAUAGGUGCGGUGAACCUUCCUUCGGUUGCCGUGGGGAUGCUGGUAGGCGGGGUCAUCAUGAAGAGAAUGGGUCUCUCUCUUAAGGCCAUCCCUCGUUUCUCUGUCUCCAUGCUGUCCAUCUCUGUUCUCCUCCUCAUCCCCCUCUUCUUCAUGGGUUGUCCCACACAGAGGGUGGAAGAGGUCAACUAUGAAUUCCAAGGAUCUCUGGCCAAUUGUUAUUCCAACUGUUCCUGCCCAGCUAACGCCUUCAACCCAGUGUGUGGAUCUGACGACACUGAGUACCUGUCUCCCUGCCACGCAGGCUGUAAAGGCUACACGAAAGACCCCAACAACAGAUUCAGGGUUCUGGAGUACACAGACUGUAUCUGUACAGCUCACAGCCAGGGUAGGGGUACUGCCCGCCCCGGCCCCUGCCCAAACCAAUGUCCUCACUUCCUGCUUCCUGUCAUGUUCCUCAUCUCUCUGGCUGCGAUGAUCGCCUCUCUAACACACAAUCCCAUCUAUAUGAUGGUCCUCAGGUAACCUCUCUAACACACAAUCCCAUCUAUAUGAUGGUCCUCAGGUAACCUCUCUAACACACAAUCCCAUCUAUAUGAUGGUCCUCAGGUAACCUCUCUAACACACAAUCCCAUCUAUAUGAUGGUCCUCAGGUAACCUCUCUAACACACAAUCCCAUCUAUAUGAUGGUCCUCAGGUAACCUCUCUAACACACAAUCCCAUCUAUAUGAUGGUCCUCAGGUAACCUCUCUAACACACAAUCCCAUCUAUAUGAUGGUCCUCAGGUAACCUCUCUAACACACAAUCCCAUCUAUAUGAUGGUCCUCAGGUAACCUCUCUAACACACAAUCCCAUCUAUAUGAUGGUCCUCAGGUAACCUCUCUAACACACAAUCCCAUCUAUAUGAUGGUCCUCAGGUAACCUCUCUAACACACAAUCCCAUCUAUAUGAUGGUCCUCAGGUAACCUCUCUAACACACAAUCCCAUCUAUAUGAUGGUCCUCAGGUAACCUCUCUAACACACAAUCCCAUCUAUAUGAUGGUCCUCAGGUAACCUCUCUAACACACAAUCCCAUCUAUAUGAUGGUCCUCAGGUAACCUCUCUAACACACAAUCCCAUCUAUAUGAUGGUCCUCAGGUAACCUCUCUAACACACAAUCCCAUCUAUAUGAUGGUCCUCAGGUAACCUCUCUAACACACAAUCCCAUCUAUAUGAUGGUCCUCAGGUAACCUCUCUAACACACAAUCCCAUCUAUAUGAUGGUCCUCAGGUAACCUCUCUAACACACAAUCCCAUCUAUAUGAUGGUCCUCAGGUAACCUCUCUAACACACAAUCCCAUCUAUAUGAUGGUCCUCAGGUAACCUCUCUAACACACAAUCCCAUCUAUAUGAUGGUCCUCAGGUAACCUCUCUAACACACAAUCCCAUCUAUAUGAUGGUCCUCAGGUAACCUCUCUAACACACAAUCCCAUCUAUAUGAUGGUCCUCAGGUAACCUCUCUAACACACAAUCCCAUCUAUAUGAUGGUCCUCAGGUAACCUCUCUAACACACAAUCCCAUUCAAUAUGAUGGUCCUCAGGUAACCUCUCUAACACACAAUCCCAUCUAUAUGAUGGUCCUCAGGUAACCUCUCUAACACACAAUCCCAUCUAUAUGAUGGUCCUCAGAACUGUUUCCCAUGAAGAGAAAUCCUUUGCCAUAGGAGUCCAGUUUCUGCUCUUGAGAGUGCUUGCCUGGUUACCAGCCCCAGCCCUGUUCGGCAUGACCAUCGAUAGCUCCUGUAUCUGGUGGAAACAUGUCUGUGGCAACCGGCUGGGCUGCGGUUACUAUGACAAUAACAUCCUGAGGAACAGGUACCUGGGUCUGCAGGUGGGCUUCAAGAUGAUGGGGAUUUUCCUGCUGGGGCUGGUUGGAUGGAAGGUCCAGAGGACCAGGGAGUACAACCUGGAAAAACGACCUGACGGACCACUGUGAUCUGGCAUACGACUGAUCGCCUGGCUCCUUAACUCCUUCCUCCUUCCUUCCAUCCUUCCUCCUUCCUUCCUCCCUCCCGUCUCACACGAUAGAGACUGGCCACUGAGGACCGUUUUACACCUCCCUCCCAUCGCACUGUGCUAUCCAAUCCACCAUUUUACUACAAUCUAACCUGUCUCACAGGAGAGAAGAGGACUCACCUGCCUCUGAGGUACACUGUGCCUUUACAACUGUCUGCUAAUGCAGGGUCUGAAUACGACAGAGGGACUAUUAUGAUUCAACUCUGAGUAGCCAGCCCUAUUCCUAUAUAAACAUCUCACAUGACUCCACCCAGUGGGAUUAGCUGGUUAUCUUAAUGAAUUUUUCCCUGAGGUCCACUGUGCUUUUCAACGGAGAGUACCGUGCUGUAUACUAGUAUAUCAACUGUAUACUAGUAUAUCAACUGUAUACUAGUAUAUCAACUGUAUACUAGUAUAUCAACUGUAUACUUGUAUAUCAACUGUAUACUAGUAUAUCAACUGUAUACUAGUAUAUCAACCGUAUACUUGUAUAUCAACUGUAUACUUGUAUAUCAACUGUAUACUUGUAUAUCAACCGUAUACUAGUAUAUCAACUGUAUACUAGUAUAUCAACUGUAUACUAGUAUAUCAACUGUAUACUAGUAUAUCAACCGUAUACUUGUAUAUCAACUGUAUACUUGUAUAUCAACCGUAUACUUGUAUAUCAACCGUAUACUAGUAUAUCAACUGUAUACUAGUAUAUCAACUGUAUACUUGUAUAUCAACUGUAUACUUGUAUAUCAACCGUAUACUAGUAUAUCAACUGUAUACUAGUAUAUCAACUGUAUACUAGUAUAUCAACUGUAUACUAGUAUAUCAACUGUAUACUUGUAUAUCAACUGUAUACUAGUAUAUCAACUGUAUACUAGUAUAUCAACCGUAUACUAGUAUAUCAACUGUAUACUAGUAUAUCAACUGUAUACUAGUAUAUCAACUGUAUACUUGCUGUUAGCCCAGGGAUGUUGUCCAUUCAGGUUUCAAGCUAACUUUAUAUAUAUUAGUUAUAGAUGUUUGUCUCGUACACAGAGGCAUUUAGUGAGCAUUAUAUAGAGUUUUAUACAAAGAAUGGUAACUUUGUAAUCGUAUGAUAAACAUAUGACAUCUGCUUUAAUCACAAUAAUAUGCUAUGCAUCACAUAUCAAUGACACUGUUUUAAAUAAUAUGUUCUCUUGUUGAAAUAGAUUUUUAAUACAAUGUUAUGCUAAGUUUAGAUUAGCUUCACUUAUGUGCCUUAUAUGCAACACCAAAUGAAUGUGAUUUAUGUAAAUAAUAAAUUGUUUGUUUUUA